GUGAUUGCUUCGUUGGCUAUUUGCUUAUUCCAGUCUCAUAAGUUUAUCAUUAGCAGGGGAUAGUUGAAGGAACAAAACUCAGGACGGUGAUGUAGCCCCUUAGCGUAACUUCACCAACCAAGCUGUGACGGUGUAACAUUUCAAGAAGUGCAUGUUGCCUGUGACAUGGGAAUAGCUGAACACAGCAGCAUUUCUGCUGACAUAGUGGACUGGAUUCAAAGUGGGGACCUAUGAUGUGAGACACUGCAGCUGACAAGAACUGCCCUACAGCAUUAAGUCCUCUGGUCAGAGCUCACUUCAGAGGAAACUUACCUACGGCUGUGCCACAAGAACACUUAAGUUAUCAUCUCAAACUCUCAAACAAGUUGUCGAUUUUUGUACAGGCUCCGAAAAAAUUCCCACUGGUAGAACAGAGUACCUCCCACUUAACCCAUUCUCUUCUCAAUCUGGACACAUCAUACCAUUCUUGAGAGCAUCUGAUAAAGAAACAGAGCCUCAAAAGAGGUAGAGU